UACCAGCUCUCCGAGUGGUGUGGAUGUUUAUUGGGCCUAGAGCAUCCGUAGCUGGCUGGGCAAGUCCCCUGUUAAAUCCACUGAUUUAAUCAUUGGAGUGCGGGGGAUACUGCUCGGCUGGGGGACGGGAGAGGCAGACGGUAUUUUCGGGGUAGGGGUGAAAUCCUAUAAUCCCGGGAAGACCACCAGUGGCGAAGGCUGUCUGCUAGAACGCGCCCGACGGUGAGGGAUGAAAGCUGGGGGAGCGAACCGGAUUAGAUACCCGGGUAGUCCCAGCUGUAAACGAUGCAGGCUAGGUGUUGGGGCGGCCACGUGCCGCUCUAGUGCCGCAGGGAAGCCGUUAAGCCUGCCGCCUGGGGAGUACGGCCGCAAGGCUGAAACUUAAAGGAAUUGGCGGGGAGCACCACAAGGGGUGAAGCUUGCGGUUU
rnacentral:rRNA from 1 species